rnacentral:antisense_RNA from 1 species
CUUGAUGCUGCCGAGCCACAGGGGCUGUUCCUGAGGCCGCGCGCUGCCGUAGGUGGCGAGCAGCGCCUGGGCCUC